UUAACAGUCAAUGCUUAUUAUCACUGUUAUAAACAACAGGGCAAGAUCAGGAUUAAUAGUCAGUGCUUAUUACCACUGUUAUAAACAACAGGGCAAGAUCAGGAUUAAUACUCAGUGCUUAUUACCACUGUUAUAAACAAUAGGGCAAGAUCAGGAUUAACAGUCAGUGCUUAUUACCACUGUUAUAAACAACAGGGCAAGAUCAGGAUUAAUACUCAGUUCUUAUUACCACUGUUAUAAACAAUAGGGCAAGAUCAGGAUUAACAGUCAGUGCUUAUUACCACUGUUAUAAACAACAGGGCAAGAUCAGGAUUAAUAGUUAGUGCUUAUUACCACUGUUAUAAACAAUAGGGCAAGAUCAGGAUUAACAAUCAGUGUUUAUCACUACUCUUAUAAACAAUAGGGCAAGAUCAGGAUUAACAGUCAGUGUUUAUCACUACUAUUAUAAACAACAGGGCAUGUCAGAUUAACAGUCAGUGUUUAUCACUACUAUUAUAAACAACAGGGCAUGUCAGGAUUAACAGUCAGUGUUUAUUACUACUCUUAUAAACAAUGGGACAAGAUCAGGAUUAACAGUCAGUGUUUAUUACUACUCUUAUAAACAAUGGGACAAGAUCAGGAUUAACAGUCAGUGUUUAUUACGACUCUUAUAAACAGCAGGACAAGAUCAGGAUUAACAGUGUUUAUUACUACUGUUACAAACAAUGGAGUAAAAUCAAGAUUAACAGUCAGUGCUUAUUACUAC